ACUUCGGUCUGGUGGCGAGUGGCGAACAGGUGAGUAAUAUAUCGGAACAUACCCAGUAGUGGGGGAUAACUAUCCGAAAGGAUAGCUAAUACCGCAUACGAUCUGUGGAUGAAAGCAGGGGAUCUUCGGACCUUGUGCUAUUGGAAUGGCCGAUAUCUGAUUAGCUAGUUGGUAGGGUAAAAGCCUACCAAGGCGACGAUCAGUAGCUGGUCUGAGAGGACGACCAGCCACACUGGAACUGAGACACGGCCCAGACUCCUACGGGAGGCAGCAGUGGGGAAUUUUGGACAAUGGGGGCAACCCUGAUCCAGCAAUGCCGCGUGAGUGAAGAAGGCCCUCGGGUUGUAAAGCUCUUUUGUCAGGGAAGAAACGGAGUUCUCUAAUAUAGGAUUCUAAUGACGGUACCUGAAGAAUAAGCACCGGCUAACUACGUGCCAGCAGCCGCGGUAAUACGUAGGGUGCAAGCGUUAAUCGGAAUUACUGGGCGUAAAGCGUGCGCAGGCGGUUUUGUAAGUCUGAUGUGAAAUCCCCGGGCUCAACCUGGGAACUGCAUUGGAGACUGCAAGGCUAGAGUGUGUCAGAGGGGGGUAGAAUUCCACGUGUAGCAGUGAAAUGCGUAGAGAUGUGGAGGAAUACCGAUGGCGAAGGCAGCCCCCUGGGAUAACACUGACGCUCAUGCACGAAAGCGUGGGGAGCAAACAGGAUUAGAUACCCUGGUAGUCCACGCCCUAAACGAUGUCUACUAGUUGUCGGGACUUAAUUGUCUUGGUAACGCAGCUAACGCGUGAAGUAGA
rnacentral:rRNA from 1 species